CCGUGCGAAGGUAGCGUAAUCACUUGUCUUUUAAAUAAAGACUAGUAUGAAUGGCAUCACGAGGACUUAACUGUCUCCCCCCUCCUAUCAGUGAAACUGAUCUCCACGUACAAAAGCGAGGAUGACAUCAUAAGACGAGAAGACCCUAUGGAGCUUAAAACUAAAAUCCACCUGUUUAACCCACUGUCUUAUCGCAGUGCUAAAAUAAUAGGACCGGUUUGAGUUUUCAGUUGGGGUGACUUUGGAGGAAAAUAAAUCCCCCAUGAAGACUUAAGCUUUGAGCGACCACUCUAUGCAUUAGUAAACCUAACUUAUUUGACCCAAUAUUUUGAUCAACGGACCAAGUUACCCUAGGGAUAACAGCGCAAUCCAUUUCAAGAGUCCAUAUCGACAAAUGGGUUU
rnacentral:rRNA from 1 species